rnacentral:rRNA from 1 species
AGAGUUUGAUCCUGGCUCAGGACGAACGCUGGCGGCGUGCUUAACACAUGCAAGUCGAACGCUGAAGCUCCAGCUUGCUGGGGUGGAUGAGUGGCGAACGGGUGAGUAAUACGUGAGUAACCUGCCCUUGACUCUGGGAUAAGCCUGGGAAACCGGGUCUAAUACUGGAUACGACGUCCUGCCGCAUGGUGGGGCGUGGAAAGGGUUUUACUGGUUUUGGAUGGGCUCACGGCCUAUCAGCUUGUUGGUGGGGUAAUGGCCUACCAAGGCGACGACGGGUAGCCGGCCUGAGAGGGUGACCGGCCACACUGGGACUGAGACACGGCCCAGACUCCUACGGGAGGCAGCAGUGGGGAAUAUUGCACAAUGGGCGCAAGCCUGAUGCAGCGACGCCGCGUGAGGGAUGACGGCCUUCGGGUUGUAAACCUCUUCAGCAGGAAGAAGCCACAAGUGACGUACUSCAGAGAAGCGCCGGCUAACUACGUGCCAGCAGCCGCGGUAAUACGUAGGGCGCAAGCGUUGUCCGGAAUUAUUGGGCGUAAAGAGCUCGUAGGCGGUUUGUCGCGUCUGCUGUGAAAGCCCGGGGCUCAACCCCGGGUCUGCAGUGGGUACGGGCAGACUAGAGUGCAGUAGGGGAGACUGGAAUUCCUGGUGUAGCGGUGAAAUGCGCAGAUAUCAGGAGGAACACCGAUGGCGAAGGCAGGUCUCUGGGCUGUUACUGACGCUGAGGAGCGAAAGCAUGGGGAGCGAACAGGAUUAGAUACCCUGGUAGUCCAUGCCGUAAACGUUGGGCACUAGGUGUGGGGGACAUUCCACGUUCUCCGCGCCGUAGCUAACGCAUUAAGUGCCCCGCCUGGGGAGUACGGCCGCAAGGCUAAAACUCAAAGGAAUUGACGGGGGCCCGCACAAGCGGCGGAGCAUGCGGAUUAAUUCGAUGCAACGCGAAGAACCUUACCAAGGCUUGACAUCCACCGGACCGCACUGGAGACAGUGCUUCCCUUCGGSGCUGGUGGACAGGUGGUGCAUGGUUGUCGUCAGCUCGUGUCGUGAGAUGUUGGGUUAAGUCCCGCAACGAGCGCAACCCUCGUUCUAUGUUGCCAGCACGUGAUGGUGGGGACUCAUAGGAGACUGCCGGGGGUCAACUCGGAGGAAGGUGGGGAUGAGUCAAAUCGG